AACGAACGCUGGCGGCAGGCUUAACACAUGCAAGUCGAACGGUUGUAGCAAUACAGCAGUGGCGCACGGGUGAGUAACGCGUGGAUAUCUGCCUUUUGGUUCGGAAUAACUCCGGGAAACUGGAGCUAAUACCGGAUGGUUCCUACGGGAUAAAGAUUUAUCGCCAAAAGAUGAGUCCGCGUACGAUUAGCUAGUUGGCGGGGUAAUGGCCCACCAAGGCGACGAUCGUUAGCUGGUCUGAGAGGACGAUCAGCCACACUGGGACUGAGACACGGCCCAGACUCCUACGGGAGGCAGCAGUGGGGAAUAUUGGAAAAUGGGGGCAACCCUGAUCCAGCCAUGCCGCGUGAGUGAUGAAGGCCUUCGGGUUGUAAAGCUCUUUUGGCGGGGACGAUGAUGACGGUACCCGCAGAAUAAGCCCCGGCUAACUUCGUGCCAGCAGCCGCCGUAACAC
rnacentral:rRNA from 1 species